GCCAACGUGGUGCAGUGGGUUUGAACAUCGGACUACGACUCUGGAGAUCAGGGUUCGAAUCCCGGUUCGGCC